rnacentral:lncRNA from 1 species
UCUGAGAGCCGGUACCAAAUUACGUUGUGUGGUGUUCCAACUUGAAUCCAAUCAACUUAAGAUUGUAUUCUCCCGACUAUAUCCAGAACGGCCGUUGAAAGGGGCUCAGCAGGAAGUUGUCUUCAGCAAGGCGGAAAUCAGUUUCUGUUCCUUACUGUUUCUACAAUAUCCAUUUCUCUUUGCAGUAUCCAAAACCGUGCUAAUUUGUGCGUUUCUAUUUUCACAAUCUGCAGCAUUUCGAAAACAAUUGCAUCAUUUUCGAAGCGAGGCGAUUUAUUUUUCAACCACGAUCAAUAAUCUACUGUUGUAUGGUAUAUGAAUGCUAAUUCCGCAUUGAUUUUUCAAAUGUUUACGAAAAAUAGGUCACAGCAUUGUUUGGCUUCUUAAUUGACACAUAUCCACGCGUAAAACUCAUUUUAGGUAGAUGAGUGGAUAAGCUACCUAAAAUGAAGCAGUAUUGACAACCAGUUGUUGGAUGCAUCAAUUGCAUUGGUUUUGUAGUCGGAGCAGCAAGUGAGUUAUAUUCAUUGUAUGUUCUUGCAGAUGGCUCGCCUGCCUGUGUACACCUGAAAGUUUGCCCUGGAUUAGUAGUAUAGAUUGCUUCAUAUCAUAUUGUGUGAUUUCUUUGUAAUAUAUUUUCUGGGCUUGCUGCGUUGGUACACAUACUCUUUAGCACUGAAUAAGUGAAAUACUCUCGCUGACGUUUCCCAAAUAAAUAUGGUGAUUGACAAAUGCGUAAGUGUGAUACUUGUUCAGUGCUAAAGCAGCAGAUUCGGAUGCAUCAUCCAUCGGCACCCUUGCUCGAAAGCAUGAGACAGGUAGCAGACUUUUGUUUUAAUACACUGUUGGUGACAACUUCCAUCUUAUUUAUGUUGUAAUUCCAAGGAAUUUCGUAUUUAGUUUAUAAUAUUAAGCUUUGAAUGAAACACAGUAAUUUAAUUACAAAGAGAGAAGUAUCAACUAUUGAAUAACCAAAGAGACAAAUAAUUAGUAGUAGAGCCUUAACAUUCUAUUAUUUAAAUGGUCAAGUUGUAAUAGGAAGCCACUACCAAAUUGCAAGAGAGAUUUAGAAUGAUUGCUUCCAUUGGUAGUAGAAGGUUGGCAUUUAUUUACUACUAAGGGUUUUGCACAAUACUUAGUAUAUCGAAAGGUCACAUGCAUUUCAAAUCUUGGAUUGGGUUUAAUAGACAAAAGUUUUCAAAGCAAUUUGGUUUUUUAUUUAUUUUUAUUUUCAUUCUAUAAUUUCUAGACUUGUCAUUGUUAGCCAUGUUAUCUUUGCAUUACAUCUCUUUUUUUGUUAUUGUGCAUUUUCUACUACCUUAGUAUUUUAUACGUUUUAUAUUUUUAUUUUCUUUUAUACUACAUGUUUUUACCUUCAAUUCCUUUGCAAAACCUUGUCCUCUCAUUAGAGUGGAGUAAAAAAGAUAUGAGAUGUUGGAAUUAAAUUGAUAAUUAUAGAAUAUAACUUUUUCACUAUUAUUGAUGCAAAAAAUGAGAUUGUGUAAAAGUUGAAUAUCUUACUUAGAUAGAUAGAAGUAAGUAAAAGUAGGUAGAAUUAUCUUAGAUAGAUAUUAUCUUUGCUAAAAAAGACUUUGAAGAAGUUCUUUAGACAAGGAUUAUCUAAUUAGACUCGCUACCAAAUAUGUUAUAUGAUCAAUAGAACUUGUCCUACAAGUUUCUUACUGUUAGAAAGUUCUAUUAAUAACAACCUUCAACUUGAUGUUUAGACCACAAGUUUUGUGGUCUUUAAAAAGCACUCAACACCUUCUUGAUAGGUAAUGUAUGUAGAAAUAAGAAUAAAGGUGCUAUUAAUCUU